rnacentral:rRNA from 1 species
AGAGCCUGAAUCAGUGUGUGUGUUAGUGGAAGCGUCUGGAAAGGCGCGCGAUACAGGGUGACAGCCCCGUACACAAAAAUGCACAUACUGUGAGCUCGAUGAGUAGGGCGGGACACGUGGUAUCCUGUCUGAAUAUGGGGGGACCAUCCUCCAAGGCUAAAUACUCCUGACUGACCGAUAGUGAACCAGUACCGUGAGGGAAAGGCGAAAAGAACCCCGGCGAGGGGAGUGAAAAAGAACCUGAAACCGUGUACGUACAAGCAGUGGGAGCCUCUUAAUGGGGUGACUGCGUACCUUUUGUAUAAUGGGUCAGCGACUUAUAUUCUGUAGCAAGGUUAACCGAAUAGGGGAGCCGAAGGGAAACCGAGUCUUAACUGGGCGUUAAGUUGCAGGGUAUAGACCCGAAACCCGGUGAUCUAGCCAUGGGCAGGUUGAAGGUUGGGUAACACUAACUGGAGGACCGAACCGACUAAUGUUGAAAAAUUAGCGGAUGACUUGUGGCUGGGGGUGAAAGGCCAAUCAAACCGGGAGAUAGCUGGUUCUCCCCGAAAGCUAUUUAGGUAGCGCCUCGUGAAUUCAUCUCCGGGGGUAGAGCACUGUUUCGGCAAGGGGGUCAUCCCGACUUACCAACCCGAUGCAAACUGCGAAUACCGGAGAAUGUU